rnacentral:snRNA from 1 species
GUGCUUGCUUCUUGUGCACAUAUACUAAAACUUCGACUUCGAAGAUACAAAGAUUAGCAUGGCCCCUACCGAGGUUGACACACAAACUCAUGAAGUGUCCUACAUUUAA